rnacentral:rRNA from 1 species
UACGGAGGAUUCAAGCGUUAUCCGGAUUUAUUGGGUUUAAAGGGUGCGUAGGCGGGUUAUCAAGUCAGCGGUAAAAUCGUGGAGCUCAACUCCAUCCAGCCGUUGAAACUGAUGAUCUUGAGUGGGCGAGAAGUAUGCGGAAUGCGUGGUGUAGCGGUGAAAUGCAUAGAUAUCGCGCAGAACCCCGAUUGCGAAGGCAGCCUGCCGGCCCCACACUGACGCUGAGGCACGAAAGCGUGGGGAGCAAACAGG